GGCUCGUUGGUCUAGGGGUAUGAAUACUCGCUUAGGGUGCGAGUGGUCCCGGGUUCGAAUCCCGGACGAGCCC
rfam:Schistosoma mansoni strain Puerto Rico chromosome 2, complete genome